rfam:Gorilla gorilla gorilla genomic chromosome, chrX, whole genome shotgun sequence
GCCAGGUGUGGUGGCACACACCUGUAGUCCCAGCUACUCAGGAGGCUGAGGCAGGAGGAUUGCUUGAGCCCAGGGAGUUGAGGCUGCAGUGAGCCAUGAUUGUACCACUGCACUCCGGUCUGGGCAACAGAGUGAGACCCUGUCUCAA